GAACUAUCACUAAGUAAGCAUACCAUCAUUAAGCUAAAAGAGAAAACACAUAUGCUCCCCCUAAAUAUCAUAACAGAGGAAAGAAUUUCUUCCUCUUCAUUAGUAUUCCCCCUCAAGGGAAAAAAGGAAAAAUAGAGCAAAAUACCAAAUAACCACAUACAAAAAAACACACCAAAAUACCAAAUAACCAUACCACUACUCCCCCUUUUUAGCUAAAAAAUUGACAAAAAUAGGAAAAACAUUCAUUAGGAAUAGAAAAAAUAUCAGAUGUAGC
rnacentral:lncRNA from 1 species